rnacentral:rRNA from 1 species
UGGAUCCAGACUUUGAUCAUGGCUCAGGACGAACGCUGGCGGCGUGCUUAACACAUGCAAGUCGAACGAGACGAUUGAAAGCUUGCUUUUGAGAGUCGAGUGGCAAACGGGUGAGUAACGCGUAGACAACCUGCCGUAAAGAUGGGGACAACAGUUCGAAAGGACUGCUAAUACCGAAUGUUGUAGAGUUUCCGCAUGGGGAUUCUACUAAAGGUGGCCUCUACUUGUAAGCUAUCGCUUUACGAUGGGUCCGCGUCUGAUUAGCUAGUUGGUGGGGUAACGGCCUACCAAGGCGACGAUCAGUAGCCGGUCUGAGAGGAUGAACGGCCACAUUGGAACUGAGAUACGGUCCAGACUCCUACGGGAGGCAGCAGUGGGGAAUCUUCCGCAAUGGGCGCAAGCCUGACGGAGCAACGCCGCGUGAGUGAAAAAGGGUUUCGACUCGUAAAGCUCUGUUGUCGGGGACGAAUGUGGAGAUGGUGAAUAACCAUUUUCAAUGACGGUACCUGACGAGGAAGCCACGGCUAACUACGUGCCAGCAGCCGCGGUAAUACGUAGGUGGCGAGCGUUGUCCGGAAUUAUUGGGCGUAAAGGGAGCGCAGGCGGGAAGGUAAGUCUAUCUUAAAAGUGCGGGGCUCAACCCCGUGAGGGGAUGGAAACUAUCUUUCUUGAGUGCAGGAGAGGAAAGCGGAAUUCCUAGUGUAGCGGUGAAAUGCGUAGAUAUUAGGAGGAACACCAGUGGCGAAGGCGGCUUUCUGGACUGUAACUGACGCUGAGGCUCGAAAGCGUGGGGAGCGAACAGGAUUAGAUACCCUGGUAGUCCACGCCGUAAACGAUGAAUGCUAGGUGUAGGAGGUAUCGACCCCUUCUGUGCCGGAGUUAACGCAAUAAGCAUUCCGCCUGGGGAGUACGGCCGCAAGGCUGCAACUCAAAUGAAUUGACGGA